rnacentral:rRNA from 1 species
GACGAACGCUGGCGGCGUGCUUAACACAUGCAAGUCGAACGGAAAGGCCCUGCUUUUGUGGGGUGCUCGAGUGGCGAACGGGUGAGUAACACGUGAGUAACCUGCCCUUGACUUUGGGAUAACUUCAGGAAACUGGGGCUAAUACCGGAUAGGAGCUCCUGCUGCAUGGUGGGGGUUGGAAAGUUUCGGCGGUUGGGGAUGGACUCGCGGCUUAUCAGCUUGUUGGUGGGGUAGUGGCUUACCAAGGCUUUGACGGGUAGCCGGCCUGAGAGGGUGAACGGCCACCUUGGGACUGAGAUACCGCCCAGACUCCUACGGGGGGCAGCAGUGGGGAAUAUUGCACAAUGGGCGGAAGCCUGAUGCAGCAACGCCGCGUGCGGGAUGACGGCCUUCGGGUUGUAAACCGCUUUCGCCUGUGACGAAGCGUGAGUGACGGUAAUGGGUAAAGAAGCACCGGCUAACUACGUG